rnacentral:rRNA from 1 species
AUUGAACGCUGGCGGCAGGCCUAACACAUGCAAGUCGAACGAGUGGCGGACGGGUGAGUAAUGUCUGGGAAACUGCCUGAUGGAGGGGGAUAACUACUGGAAACGGUAGCUAAUACCGCAUAACAUCGUAUGUGCCCAGAUGGGAUUAGCUAGUAGGUGGGGUAAAGGCUCACCUAGGCGACGCUCCCUAGCGGGUCUGAGAGGGUGACCAGCAACACUGGAACUGAGACACGGUCCAGACUCCUAGGGGAGGCAGCAGUGGGGAAUAUUGCACAAUGGGCGCAAGCCUGAUGCAGCCAUGCCGCGUGUAUGAAGACGGCCUUCGGGUUGUAAAGUACUUUCAGCGGGGAGGCGUUACCCGCAGAAGAAGCACCGGCUAACUCCGUGCCAGCAGCCGCGGUAAUUC